rnacentral:rRNA from 1 species
CAGUCGCCGCGGUAAUACAGAGGGUGCGAGCGUUAAUCGGAUUUACUGGGCGUAAAGCGUGCGUAGGCGGCUUCUUAAGUCGGAUGUGAAAUCCCUGAGCUUAACUUAGGAAUUGCAUUUGAUACUGGGAAGCUAGAGUAUGGGAGAGGAUGGUAGAAUUCCAGGUGUAGCGGUGAAAUGCGUAGAGAUCUGGAGGAAUACCGAUGGCGAAGGCAGCCAUCUGGCCUAAUACUGACGCUGAGGUACGAAAGCAUGGGGAGCAAACAGGAUUAGAUACCCCUGUAGUCCCUGUCUCUUAUAC